UACGAACGCUGGCGGCAUGCCUAACACAUGCAAGUCGAACGAGAUCUUCGGAUCUAGUGGCGCACGGGUGCGUAACGCGUGGGAGUCUGCCCUUGGGUUCGGAAUAACGUCGGGAAACUGACGCUAAUAACGGAUGAUGACGUAAGUCCAAAGAUUUAUCGCCCAGGGAUGAGCCCGCGUAGGAUUAGCUAGUUGGUGAGGUAAAGGCUCACCAAGGCUACGAUCCUUAGCUGGUCUGAGAGGAUGAUCAGCCACACUGGGACUGAGACACGGCCCAGACUCCUACGGGAGGCAGCAGUAGGGAAUAUUGGACAAUGGGGGCAACCCUGAUCCAGCAAUGCCGCGUGAGCGAUGAAGGCCUUAGGGUUGAAAAGCUCUUUUACCCGGGAUGAUAAUGACAGUACCGGGAGAAUAAGCCCCGGCUAACUCCGUGCCAGCCGCCGCCGUAA
rnacentral:rRNA from 1 species